rnacentral:tRNA from 1 species
CCGGGUAUGGUGUAAAGGUAACAUACUGCACAACUCACAAUUGUGGAGACGUUCGGGGUUCGAUUCCUUGUGCCUGGA